AGAGUUUGAUCCUGGCUCAGGAUGAACUUUUGGCGGCGUGCUUAACACAUGCAAGUCGAACGGGGGUGCCAUGAACGAAGCAUCAGUUUACUGAUAUGGAGGGAAUGGGACCCUAGUGGCGGACGGGUGAGUAACGCGUGGGUAACCUGCCCCAUACCGGGGGAUAACACUUAGAAAUAGGUGCUAAUACCGCAUAAGCGCACGGUACUGCAUGGUACAGUGUGAAAAACUCCGGUGGUAUGGGAUGGACCCGCGUCUGAUUAGCUUGUUGGCGGGGUAACGGCCCACCAAGGCGACGAUCAGUAGCCGGCCUGAGAGGGUGGACGGCCACAUUGGGACUGAGACACGGCCCAAACUCCUACGGGAGGCAGCAGUGGGGAAUAUUGCACAAUGGGGGAAACCCUGAUGCAGCGACGCCGCGUGAGUGAAGAAGUAUUUCGGUAUGUAAAGCUCUGUCAGCAGGGAAGAAAAUGACGGUACCUGACCAAGAAGCCCCGGCUAACUACGUGCCAGCAGCCGCGGUAAUACGUAGGGGGCAAGCGUUAUCCGGAUUUACUGGGUGUAAAGGGAGCGUAGACGGCAGGGCAAGUCUGGAGUGAAAGGCGGGGGCUCAACCCCCGGACUGCUCUGGAAACUGCCAGGCUGGAGUGCAGGAGAGGUAAGUGGAAUUCCUAGUGUAGCGGUGAAAUGCGUAGAUAUUAGGAGGAACACCAGUGGCGAAGGCGGCUUACUGGACUGUAACUGACGUUGAGGCUCGAAAGCGUGGGGAGCAAACAGGAUUAGAUACCCUGGUAGUCCACGCCGUAAA
rnacentral:rRNA from 1 species